GUGUCAGCCGCCGCGGUAAUACGUAGGGACCAAGCGUUGUUCGGAUUUACUGGGCGUAAAGGGCGCGUAGGCGGCUUGUCAAGUCACUUGUGAAAUCUCUGGGCUUAACCCAGAACGGCCAAGUGAAACUGACAUGCUAGAGUGCAGAAGGGGCAAUCGGAAUUCUUGGUGUAGCGGUGAAAUGCGUAGAUAUCAAGAGGAACACCUGAGGUGAAGACGGGUUGCUGGGCUGACACUGACGCUGAGGCGCGAAAGCCAGGGGAGCAAACGGGAUUAGAAACCCUUGUAGUCC
rnacentral:rRNA from 1 species